rnacentral:lncRNA from 1 species
GUUGCUGUAUAUGGCAGGCAGCUGCCAUUCAGAAGCAAAUGUUUGUUGAACUUUAUGUUCUUGCAUGUCUUUGUGAGGUUUCAUAUUUAACAAAAUUUAAUUGGAUAAUUAAUUAAUCAUUAUUUUUAAAUCAGAGACCAUGUUCAAGUUGCUACCCUGUUAUCAACUUGCAACAUUAUCAACCGGAAUAUUUUUAGUAAGCCGCAUCCUGUACUUGAUGCGCCAAAUAAGUAAGGAAAACCUUUGCAUGACCUAAGAACCAUGUUUUGGAAUUCGUACAGCUUGAUUCAUUUUGCAGAACUAUGUUAGUGUUUUUUCUCAAAAACAGACAAAUAUAUCUUAAAUGAAAGAAUACAACCUUGCAAUUGCAAAUUUUCCAUUGUAGCAAAGCUGAGUUCAAAAGCUAGCUGUGAUCAAUGAGUAGACUUACUAGCUGGUGAGUUUACAAUACAAAAGUUUGAAUACAUUAUGAAGGUGUUUGGUUCGCGGAUUUGUAACGGAACCCGAUUACGGUGGGACCCGAUUACAUUAGUUUUUAUUUGGUUAGCAUCGGCCGUAAUGAGAUCCCGUGGAAUCGGAUGACACUCCUAUUCAAAUCUGUUUACACCCAUCUUGGUCAGUGAUCUGUUUCCACUAGCAGCCCGAUUCGUCGCAACCCAUUUCUCUCGCGCGCAGCCGGCGCCACACGACCUCGUCGGCGACGACUCUCCUCAAGACACCUUCCACCACGGACCUCACCAAGCUCACGACCAUCUUUCUCUCUCCGGUUGCUACUUCUACUGCACGUCAACACGAGAGACAACGACGGAGCGGACGAGAUUCUAAAUUAUCAUUUUGUAAUAUAUCGUUAACAACAUGUCUCUCAGUUUGAGAGAAUAGUGGAAGUUAUGCAUAGUUAUUUUUUAAAAAUUUAUUAUAUAAAAUAAUUAAUUACCAUAUAUUUAUAUUAAACUUUUUUAAUUAGUUAUAUAUCGCUAAAAUAUGACAUACUUGGUUUUAAAUUGAUAAUACAUUUUUAUACAAAAAUCAUUUUUCUAUUGUGUAGCUCCAUUAGUCAUAUAAAUUUGUUGGCAAUAUUAGAACUAUAAGCCUAUUGCCAUACACCACACAUGCUUGGUUGUUAGUAGAACUAUAUAAUAUGUAAAACUAUGUUACCUUUUCAAUUUUUUGUUCGUGAGAUUUUGUUGAACUUACUUUCAUUAUAAAUUAAAGAAGACCCAAAUAGAUGAAAACAUCACAUCCAUAUGCAAAAUAAUUUGUACUUACUUGUAUUAUAAUGUGUCUAUAUUUAUUUUGAUAUAUGUAAACGAUUUAAUGGGUGG